rnacentral:rRNA from 1 species
UACGUAGGGGGCAAGCGUUGUCCGGAAUCAUUGGGCGUAAAGCGUGUGUAGGCGGUCCGGUAAGUCCGCUGUGAAAGUCGGGGGCUCAACCCUCGGAUGCCGGUGGAUACUGUCGGGCUUGAGUACGGAAGAGGCGAGUGGAAUUCCUGGUGUAGCGGUAAAAUGCGCAGAUAUCAGGAGGAACACCAAUUGCGAAGGCAGCUCGCUGGGACGUUACUGACGCUGAGACGCGAAAGCGUGGGGAGCAAACAGG